GAGCAUUUGACAGAUGGUGACUUGUCAAAAAACAAAAACAAGAUAGUGGAGGUUAUUGUACCUGAGCUCCAUGAGAUGCGUAAGGCUCAUCUUGUUUCAAUCGGAUCUGAAACGUUGUGCUCCAUAAAUCUCGAUUGUGAGGAUGGGAAAGGUCUGAGAAUGACAUAUGAUAGUUGUACGAGUUUG